UGAACGCGAAGAACCUUACCAGGUCUUGACAUCCUCUGACACUCCUAGAGAUAGGACUUUCCCCUUCGGGGGACAGAGUGACAGGUGGUGCAUGGUUGUCGUCAGCUCGUGUCGUGAGAUGUUGGGUUAAGUCCCGCAACGAGCGCAACCCUUGAUCUUAGUUGCCAGCAUUUAGUUGGGCACUCUAAGGUGACUGCCGGUGACAAACCGGAGGAAGGUGGGGAUGACGUCAAAUCAUCAUGCCCCUUAUGACCUGGGCUACACACGUGCUACAAUGGAUGGUACAAAGGGCUGCGAAACCGCGAGGUUUAGCCAAUCCCAUAAAACCAUUCUCAGUUCGGAUUGUAGGCUGCAACUCGCCUACAUGAAGCCGGAAUCGCUAGUAAUCGCGGAUCAGCAUGCCGCGGUGAAUACGUUCCCGGGUCUUGUACACACGCA
rnacentral:rRNA from 1 species